rnacentral:rRNA from 1 species
AUUGAACGCUGGCGGCAUGCCUUACACAUGCAAGUCGAACGGCAGCACGGGUGCUUGCACUGGUGGCGAGUGGCGAACGGGUGAGUAAUACAUCGGAACAUGUCCUGUAGUGGGGGAUAGCCCGGCGAAAGCCGGAUUAAUACCGCAUACGAUCUACGGAUGAAAGCGGGGGACCUUCGGGCCUCGCGCUAUAGGGUUGGCCGAUGGCUGAUUAGCUAGUUGGUGGGGUAAAGGCCUACCAAGGCGACGAUCAGUAGCUGGUCUGAGAGGACGACCAGCCACACUGGGACUGAGACACGGCCCAGACUCCUACGGGAGGCAGCAGUGGGGAAUUUUGGACAAUGGGCGAAAGCCUGAUCCAGCAAUGCCGCGUGUGUGAAGAAGGCCUUCGGGUUGUAAAGCACUUUUGUCCGGAAAGAAAUCCUUGGUUCUAAUAUAGCCGGGGGAUGACGGUACCGGAAGAAUAAGCACCGGCUAACUACGUGC